AGAUCUACUAAUACCUACAUAUUUAAAUACAGAACAACUCUGACAUCAUAAUUGUUUAGAAGUGAACUAUCUGAAGUUCACCCUAAUAGUUCUCUAAUACACUACUUGAAGCAAAAACUGUUCUACUGAGCUGGAAAGCAUCUUCUGUAACAAAGUUUUUUCUGACUUCCCUCUGAAAACAAAGCAAAGGGAGAGAAUAACUAAAAGUAACUAAAAGUAAAUAAAGCCUUACCAUGUAUUCAGAUGGAGCCAUAAACUCAAUAGUAGCAUUCUGGACUUCAGGUCUUUUAUGAGGUUCUCCAUAAACUCUUGUCACAGGAUUAUACAGGAAUUCUUCGGGAACUAUGCAGGUAAGUUUAUAUGUUAGUAUUUCACACUGGUACUGGCUGUGCUGCAUUUUAAAACACAUAUAUCUUUUGUAGCUGUUGGGCAACACUUCUUGGAGAACUACACUAGGCAGGGCAGCUAUUUUGUCACCUGAAAGGAUACUCUGGGGGACCACUUGGGCUUACUGUGCUUCUCUAGUGACACCACUGCCAUUGGGAAACACUUCUCACGACUCACAGCCCAGCAGGACUCGCAACAACCCCAGCACUGACUUGGCCAACAAGUAACAGUCUCAAAGGCCAAGGUAGGAAAGGUGAACUGUAACCCUUUAAAUCAAUAAGCACAUUUAAAACCUACCAUCAUUCACUCUAUAGCACAAAUUGCAUUUCCACCUCCUUUGGUCUAGAAAGCUGACAAAAGGGUUAAUGUAGGUCCGGCAGGAACGGCAUCUCACGAUAAUACUGGAAGUGACCACUGGCAAUUGCUGGAAGAGAGAAGCUUCCUGUUUUAAAGCAUCACCACACUGCAGCUAUUCAUCUACAGCAACAACACUGCUUCCUGGCUAGCUGCUCAAAGCACUCUUGUGGAAGGAAGGAGCACUUCUGCAUCCUCACAGCAUCCCUACAAUUCCUUAGUGUAACAGCCUUACCCAUGAGGCCACCACCUUCUAUUGCAUCGUAGCUGUUUUGCACCACAGACCCAUCACUGGCAGCAGAUGCAGCAUCACCUUUGAAGGAAAAGGAUCAGAAAAAAAAUUCACAAGUUAUGAAGAUGUUUUAAUGAGUUAACUGCAAAACAAUCCUACUUGCUGGAUGAAUAUUUAGUUUUCUUUCCAGGCUGUGCUCCAGUUUUUUGCAUCAACCUGACUUAGGCUGCUCAGAAAACAACCUGAAUCAAGUGAUUACAGAAAAGCUAACCAUGCUAAAAGGAGACCAAGCUAAAAGAAGACCACGCUCACUAAACAGAACUAUAGUUCUUAACUGCGAAGUCCUGGACUGAAACAUGUUAAUGCUCCAAGAGCCACCCCAAGGAAUGGUGAAGGUCACAGAAACACCGUCCCAAAACAAUGAGACACCAUUCAGGAGUUACCUGCUUCAGCCAACUGAAACACCCAACCUGUGCACAGAACUUCUACUUCUACCCCAAAGAAAGCACCCCAGUAUUUCCAAUGGCUGUAUCUGCUUUGAGUCUUGUUCCACAAGCUAAGUGCCACUGCAGAGUCAAUUCUAUCCUCUUUAUUUCAAAAGGACACUGAGAAAUGGACAUUGCUAAGACAUCCAGAGGGGAUGGUUACCUGGCUUCAUGUAGCUGUUCUGAAGCUGGGGACCUCCCGGAGAAGCAGCAUAUUGGUAACUCCCUGGGGGAUUUGUACUUCCUGACAAUGACGACGGUGGCUGAGCUGACCCUGGCCCUGGCCCAUGAGCCAAAUGGCUUGUUUGAGCCCCAAGUGGCUGACUCACAGGAGGCUGGCUGUACUGCCAGUUUGAAAGCACCGGUGGGCUGGCUCCAGGGGGAAAGCUUCCAGCAGAAGAUAGAGCAGCUGAGUUCUGUAACGCGGGCGGCAGCAGCACUUGCGGAGCAGGACCUGUCUGUGGUACUGGUGACCCGGAGAAAGCUGGCACUGGGGGUCUGUUCAGAGUCUGGCCAGGUCCUUGAUAAUUGUUUAACUGAGAAACAUUCUGAGAGCCACUAUAGUUAUACUGUCCAGGAGACUGAUGUGGAGGAACCUUCGCCGGCGCCUGAUGGGGGUACGGUCCUGGAACCGCAGGGUUGUAUCCCUGGCCAUCGGGUGAAUGCAUCAGCUGGUUCUGAACAGGGCCUGCAAGAAAGAAAACUACACUCUUUAGGAAGUCAGUGUGGUGCAUCACUUCUGAAAAUAAGAGAUGUUUUCCUUGGGAUUUUAUGAGUCUCCAGGCCAUUUAAACAGUCAGGUGUGACAGAAGUAUUGCUACAGGGGACAUGAAUUUGGCAGUAUUUUGCUAUCAACACUUAGAUCUUUGUUUUGUUCUACAGUAGCCUUGCAACCACUAGGCAUUUCAUGCUCCUGGACUGAAAUUCACCCAGGAUACCAUUUGAAUCUUCAGAAACACCCAAAAGCAAGCUGACCACAGAGGAGCACUCUCACACAGCUGACAGCAGCACAUGAGCAGACCGAAAGCGGAAGAUCCAUUGCGUAAUAACUCCAUUUCACAUGACGACUGACAUCUACUUAAACUUCAGCUUACCACAAAGACACCACCAGCCAGCUCCAGCAUAGGUCACCACGCUACUUCUCAAGUGACAGAGUUAAUCUAUGAAAGUUUCUGCAGUUAAUUUUAGUAAGAGAACUAUUCAUACGCAUGUGAGCGGCCUACUGUCACCAACACGGAAUGAAGGGUAAGUUUAUCAUAAAAUA